rnacentral:rRNA from 1 species
CCAAGCGAUGCUUCGAGAGUUACGAACCUACUUAAAAGACUAUGAGAUGUAGCGCAAUCAAGGGAAAUAUCAGAGCAUUAGAAAAAAAGAUGAAAAAAGGUAUUGACAAGAAGAGUAGUAGGUGAUAUACUAAGAUAGUUGUCGCUUGAAUGGCGAUAAAGACCUUUGAAAACUGAACAAGACGAACCAAUGUGCAGGCGACUGUUGAGAGACAGUCAGUCAAACAUAAGCAAAUAAAUCUGUCAGUGACAGAAAUGAGUGAAGACUCAAACUAUAAAUGAGAGUUUGAUCCUGGCUCAGGACGAACGCUGGCGGCGUGCCUAAUACCCAGACUCCUACGGGAGGCAGCAGUAGGGAAUCUUCGGCAAUGGGGGGAACCCUGACCGAGCAACGCCGCGUGAGUGAAGAAGGUUUUCGGAUCGUAAAGCUCUGUUGUUAAGGAAGAACGAGUGUGAGAAUGGAAAGUUCAUACUGUGACGGUACUUAACCAGAAAGGGACGGCUAACUACGUGCCAGCAGCCGCGGUAAUACGUAGGUCCCGAGCGUUGUCCGGAUUUAUUGGGCGUAAAGCGAGCGCAGGCGGUUAGAUAAGUCUGAAGUUAAAGGCAGUGGCUCAACCAUUGUAGGCUUUGGAAACUGUUUAACUUGAGUGCAGAAGGGGAGAGUGGAAUUCCAUGUGUAGCGGUGAAAUGCGUAGAUAUAUGGAGGAACACCGGUGGCGAAAGCGGCUCUCUGGUCUGUAACUGACGCUGAGGCUCGAAAGCGUGGGGAGCGAACAGGAUUAGAUACCCUGGUAGUCCACGCCGUAAACGAUGAGUGCUAGGUGUUAGGUCCUUUCCGGGACUUAGUGCCGCAGCUAACGCAUUAAGCACUCCGCCUGGGGAGUACGACCGCAAGGUUGAAACUCAAAGGAAUUGACGGGGGCCCGCACAAGCGGUGGAGCAUGUGGUUUAAUUCGAAGCAACGCGAAGAACCUUACCAGGUCUUGACAUCCCGAUGCCCGCUCUAGAGAUAGAGCUUUACUUCGGUACAUCGGUGACAGGUGGUGCAUGGUUGUCGUCAGCUCGUGUCGUGAGAUGUUGGGUUAAGUCCCGCAACGAGCGCAACCCUUAUUGUUAGUUGCCAUCAUUCAGUUGGGCACUCUAGCGAGACUGCCGGUAAUAAACCGGAGGAAGGUGGGGAUGACGUCAAAUCAUCAUGCCCCUUAUGACCUGGGCUACACACGUGCUACAAUGGCUGGUACAACGAGUCGCAAGCCGGUGACGGCAAGCUAAUCUCUGAAAGCCAGUCUCAGUUCGGAUUGUAGGCUGCAACUCGCCUACAUGAAGUCGGAAUCGCUAGUAAUCGCGGAUCAGCACGCCGCGGUGAAUACGUUCCCGGGCCUUGUACACACCGCCCGUCACACCACGAGAGUUUGUAACACCCGAAGUCGGUGAGGUAACCGUAAGGAGCCAGCCGCCUAAGGUGGGAUAGAUGAUUGGGGUGAAGUCGUAACAAGGUAGCCGUAUCGGAAGGUGCGGCUG